ACUCAAAUGAAUUGACGGGGGCCCGCACAAGCAGUGGAGCAUGUGGUUUAAUUCGAUGCAACGCGAAGAACCUUACCUAGGCUUGAAAAGCAAAUGACCGGGUGUGAAAGCACCUCUCCCUUCGGGGCAUUUGUACAGGUGCUGCAUGGCUGUCGUCAGCUCGUGCCGUGAGGUGUUGGGUUAAGUCCCGCAACGAGCGCAACCCUUACUAUUAGUUGCCAUCAGGUUAUGCUGGGCACUCUAAUAGGACUGCCUACGCAAGUAGUGAGGAAGGUGGGGAUGACGUCAAGUCCGCAUGGCCCUUACGCCUAGGGCCACACACGUGCUACAAUGGGUACAACAGAGGGUAGCCAAACCGCAAGGUGGAGCCAAUCCCAUAAAUGUAUCCUCAGUUCGGAUUGGAGUCUGAAACUCGACUCCAUGAAGUUGGAAUUGCUAGUAAUCGCGCAUCAGCACGGCGCGGUGAAUACGUUCCCGGGCCUUGUACACACCGCCCGU
rnacentral:rRNA from 1 species